GACGAACGCUGGCGGCGUGCCUAAUACAUGCAAGUAGAACGCAGUUGCGAACGGGUGAGUAACGCGUAGGUAACUGCCUCAUAGCGGGGGAUAACUAUUGGAAACGAUAGCUAAUACCGCAUACUGUGAGAUGGACCUGCGUUGUAUUAGCUAGUUGGUGAGGUUAAGGCUCACCAAGGCGACGAUACAUAGCCGACCUGAGAGGUUGAUCGGCCCCACUGGGACUGAGACACCGCUCAGGCUUCUCCGGGAGGCAGCCGUAGGUGAUCUUCGGCAAUUGACGGAAGUCUGACCGCGCAACGCCGCGGGAUUGGAGAUGGUCUUCGGAUCGUAAAGCUCUGUUGUUCGAGUAGCGGUAACUAACCAGAAAGGGACGGCUAACUACGUGCCAGCAGCCGCGGUAAUUC
rnacentral:rRNA from 1 species